CCCAAGUAAACUGGAUGGCCGCCCACAUGGCUGAAGCCGACCUGGCCCUAGAGGACAUGGCAAACAGGUCGAGGCGUAAUAACUUAAGACUGAGGGGACUGCCAGAAGGGGAUUGUGACAAGACCAAUCUCGCCACAUUGCAUUGGGGAAGCCUGGUUGCUCGCCUGCUGCCUCUGGACUAUGGCCCCCUUUUAAAAGACUUUAUUUCGCCUGAAGAAAAGCUGUAUUCGUGCUUUUCUGCCAGUUGUUCG